rnacentral:rRNA from 1 species
AUGUUAAACAUAUGUUUAUUAUUUAAUUAAAGUUCUAGAAGGUUAAUGAUGAUGACAAUUACCUAUCUAUAAGUCUUGACCAAUCUCGUGCCAGCUGUCGCGGCAAGGCGAGAAAGGCUGCGUUAUUCAUCUUUAAUAGGUUUAAAGGGUACCUAGACGGUAAUAUUAACUAAAUAAAUAAUAGUUUAUUUUUAAUCUAAUAGUAAUAUACUCUAUUAUUAAUAGUAAUAUAAUCUAUUACAAAUAGUAAUAUACUAGAGUUAAUAAUAUGAGAGGAUAGAAUUUAUGGUGUAGAGAUGAAAUUUUUUGAUACCAUUUAUACUGGUAACGGCGAAGGCAAUCCUUUAAUAUUAACUGACGUUGAGGGACGAAGGCUUGGGUAGCAAACAGGAUUAGAUACCCUAGUAGUCCAAGCAGUAAAUUAUGAAUGUCAUAGACCUAAUUAUAAAUAUACUCCGCCAGGGUUUAUCAAACAACCUCAUUAUCUAAUUUGAUUUUUGAAGGCUCACUUGUUGAUAAGUUUAGUUUGCCGGUAGAUACUUAUAGUUUGUUGUUUAAUAAUUUUUUAUUGUUUUUAUUUUACCAUUAAACUCUGGUUUAUAUUAACCAAAUUUGAGUUAAACUCAAAUUGGGUAAUAUUGUGUAUAUAUAGGUUUAUAAAUGAAAGUGUAAGCAUUCCACCUCAAGAGUAAUGUGGCAACGCAGGAACUGAAAUCAUUAGACCGUUUCUGAAAUCAGUAGUGAAGUAUGUCGUUUAAUUCGAUAACCCACGAAAAACCUUACCACAGCUUGAAUAUUUAUAUAAUACAAGUGUUGCACGGCUGUCUUCAGUUAAUGUCGUGAGAGAGAGAUUAAUACAUCCUAUAAUUAACGUAAACCCUUAUUUUAUUUGGUGUAAUAAAAU